AAUGAAGGAUCUUUUCCUGCUGACGCCUGGAGCCCAGUUUGUGAAAUCAGAAAGGAGGCACUUGCCCGCUCUUCACAAAUCCGGCAGAGAAGCAGCUCAAAGUCGAAAGCCGUUCAGAUUAUAUUCUCUCAGCGCGUUUUCGUGUAAAAUGGCGAAUGUGUUCCUUCCCCCCCGAGGACCGCGAAGUGACACGCGGUCUGUGCCAGGCGCCCUCAUCUAUGUGAUGCUCUGAGGGAAAGACAUCACUGGUCCCCCAGGAAGCCAGGCCCAGGCGGCCGGCCAAAAGGAUGCUUUGGGGGAAGAGCCCACACUCGGGGGCUUGGCUCUUGCCUGUCUGGGCCACCGUCAGGGCCUCGGCCGUGGUGAUUUGAUGUGGAACCCACCCAGCCCCACAUGGGAAUCAGAUGGGCAGCUGGGCUGGUUUCCCACGGCCUCUGAGGCCCCUGACCGUGGUGAGAUCCUGAUUCCUGCCAAGCUGGGAAGCCUUCACGAGAUGUGCCCGCCAUGAAAGACACCAAAACCGUGAGAGAACCCCAAACUAUGAACGGCAGCAGCCGAAAGUCUAAUCCGAAUGAUACCUCAGUGCCGGCCCAUCCCCCUUUGCCUUCAUCCCUUGGGGGCCACCAGCCCGGCCACUGGCCGCCCCCCACCUGCCUUUGAUACCUGAGCAGUGCUGUGCCAACCUGGAGUAGACCUGAGACAAAAGGAAGCAUAUGGACCCCACACGCAUGUUUUUUGGAGUUGUAGCUGGUUGUUUUUCCCCAGAGCACUAAAGCAGUCGAAAAACAACGAAAAGCUGAAAAGUAGGUGUAUUAAAAGUCACAACCCGACUGGUGUAUUUAGAUUGAAACAGAAUUUGGGGCGUCUGGGGCGCUUCGGCUCAGGUCAUGAUCUCACCGUUUGUGAGUUCGAGCCCCGCAUCGAGCUCUGUGCUGACAGCUCAAAGCCUGGAGCCUGCUUUUGAUUCUGUGUCUCCCUCUCUCUCUGUCCCUCCCCCACUCAUGCUCUGUCUCUCUCUGUCUCAGAAAUAAGUAAGCAUUAAAAAAAAUUUAGAUUGAAACAGAAUUUAUUGUAAGUCUAUUUCAAAUCAAGUUAAUUAAAAAUGAUUUAAGAUGACCGCUUAGCUAAGAGAAAUCGUCAAACCGGGAAAUUCUUUCCAUUAAACAUCAGAUUAGCGGGGCGCCUGGGUGGCGCAGUCAGUUAAGCGUCCGACUUCAGCCAGGUCACGAUCUCGCGGUCCGUGAGUUCGAGCCCCGCGUCGGGCUCUGGGCUGAUGGCUCGGAGCCUGGAGCCUGUCUCCGAUUCUGUGUCUCCCUCUCUCUCUGCCCCUCCCCCGUUCAUGCUCUGUCUCUCUCUGUCCCAAAAAUAAAUAAACGUUGAAAAAAAAAUUAAAAAAAAAA
rnacentral:lncRNA from 1 species